AGUCCAGACUCCUACGGGAGGCAGCAGUGGGGAAUAUUGCACAAUGGGGGAAACCCUGAUGCAGCGACGCCGCGUGAGUGAAGAAGUAUUUCGGUAUGUAAAGCUCUAUCAGCAGGGAAGAAAUAGCGACCUUUGGGUCGCCAGACGGUACCUGAUUAAGAAGCCCCGGCUAACUACGUGCCAGCAGCCGCGGUAAUACGUAGGGAGCAAGCGUUAUCCGGAUUUACUGGGUGUAAAGGGAGCGUAGACGGCAGCGCAAGUCUGAAGUGAAAUGCCGGGGCUUAACCCCGGAACUGCUUUGGAAACUGUGCAGCUAGAGUGCAGGAGAGGCAAUCGGAAUUCCGUGUGUAGCGGUGAAAUGCGUAGAUAUACGGAGGAACACCAGUGGCGAAGGCGGCUUUCUGGACUGAAACUGACGCUGAGGCUCGAAAGCGUGGGGAGCAAACAGGAUUAGAUACCCGAGUA
rnacentral:rRNA from 1 species